CGCGGCCUACGGGGCGCAGCAGUGGGGAAUAUUGCACAAUGGAGGGAACUCUGAUGCAGCGACGCCGCGUGAGUGAAGAAGUAAUUCGUUAUGUAAAGCUCUCUCAGCAGGGAAGAAAGUGACGGUACCUGAUUAAGAAGCCCCGGCUAACUACGUGCCAGCAGCCGCGGUAAUACGUAGGGGGCAAGCGUUAUCCGGAUUUACUGGGUGUAAAGGGAGCGUAGACGGCAUAGCAAGUCUGAAGUGAAAGCCCAAGGCUCAACCAUGGGACUGCUUUGGAAACUGUUAAGCUAGAGUGCUG
rnacentral:rRNA from 1 species